UACGGAGGGUGCAAACGUUGCUCGGAAUUAUUGGGCGUAAAGGGUGCGUAGGCGGUGCGGUAAGUCUGUAGUGAAAUCUCUGGGCUCAACUCAGAGUCUGCUAUAGAAACUGCCGUGCUUGAGUGUGGGAGAGGUGAGUGGAAUUCCCGGUGUAGCGGUGAAAUGCGCAGAUAUCGGGAAGAACACCCGUGGCGAAGGCGGCUCUCUGGGACGGUACUGACGCUGAGACGCGAAAGCGUGGGGAGCGAACAGG
rnacentral:rRNA from 1 species